rnacentral:lncRNA from 1 species
AGAAAACAUAUUUUUAGAGAAAAAAAUCGCAAUGUCAUCUUCCAAAUUUGCUAUCUUUUGUAUCAUCCUUGUUUCCAUGGCUAGCCUUCAUGAAUGUAAGUUAUAUAAAUGAUUUAUCGUUCAUUGUUUAUCAUCAUCACCACCUCUCUAUAAUCACAACUGAAUAUUCCAUAUAUAAUCUUUUCAAAUUUUUUUUUUUUUAUAUAGGUAAUUUCUUCAAAGACCUUACCAGUCCAUAUUUGAAAGAUCCAUGUUAUUACGCAAGAAUUAAACAAUAUUGCUGCGAAAGUACUGUUCCGGGUGAGGGGAUAAGCUGCUAUGACACGGAAACACAAUGUAGGAAUGAUUUUGCCAAUAAUCAUUGUAAUCCUUAUGCAAAGAAGAACUAAGAAACUUGACGAAUAGUUAUACGUACUAAAUAUUUUCAUACGUUUUACUCAUAAUAUACAAGUUGUAAAUAUGCAUCUGUAUUUACAAUAUACAACUAUGUAAUGCAAAAUGAUAAACCUUCUUUCUCUUCUUUUUUAUGUGGUAUGUAUUUUUCAGAUUAAUUA